AGAAUCAACGCUGGCGGCGUGCCUAACACGUGCAAGUCGAACGCGAAAGUCCCGCAAGGGAUGAUUAGAGUGGCAAACGGGUGAGUAACACGUGGGUGACCUGCCUUCGAGUGGGGGGAUAACGCUCCGAAAAGGGACGCUAAUACCGCAUAACAUCCUGCCUUUUUAAGAGGUGGAGAUCAAAAGCCUGGGACCGCAAGGCCAGGCGCUUGACGAGGGGGCCCCGCGUCUGAUUUAGCUAGUUUGGUGGGGUAAUGGCUCACCAAGGCAACGAUCAGUA
rnacentral:rRNA from 1 species